rnacentral:rRNA from 1 species
AUUGAACGCUGGCGGCAUGCCUUACACAUGCAAGUCGAACGGCAGCACGGGUGCUUGCCCCUGGUGGCGAGUGGCGAACGGGUGAGUAAUACAUCGGAACAUGUCCUGUAGUGGGGGAUAGCCCGGCGAAAGCCGGAUUAAUACCGCAUACGAUCUACGGAUGAAAGCGGGGGACCUUCGGGCCUCGCGCUAUAGGGUUGGCCGAUGGCUGAUUAGCUAGUUGGUGGGGUAAAGGCCUACCAAGGCGACGAGCAGUAGCUGGUCUGAGAGGACGACCAGCCACACUGGGACUGAGACACGGCCCAGACUCCUACGGGAGGCAGCAGUGGGGAAUGUUGGACAAUGGGCGAAAGCCUGAUCCAGCAAUGCCGCGUGUGUGAAGAAGGCCUUCGGGUUGUAAAGCACUUUUGUCCGGAAAGAAAUCCUUGGCCCUAAUACGGUCGGGGGAUGACGGUACCGGAAGAAUAAGCACCGGCUAACUACGUG